GAUCAAGCCACCACAUUGCUGUAACCAUGCACUUCCUGGUAUCUAUGUCUUUGCUUGUCACAGUGCCCCUCCCAGAAGACAUAUUCUCUUAGGGCAAGGAAGAUAUUUCAUUCUCUCCCCCCAGCAAAACAAAGCAUUUUGUUUUCCACGUUCCAUAAGCUUAAUAAUUAUUUGUGAAUUGAAUGAAAAGAAAAAACAUAAUACAACUACUCACCUGUUUUGGGGGGCUUUUUUUGUUUUUAACGGAGUGCCUUCCAAGAGCUGAGGAUUGGAUUUAUUAAUUCUGAUUUUUUACUGGAUAUCAAUUUGAAAAUCAAAGGCUGUCCCCAUGCCUCAGUUUCCUCAUCUGUGACCACAGGUCAAGAAUAAUUCUUCCUAACCUACUUUACCAGGCUACUUAUUUUCACCUAAAAGGUGGCAAUAUUAUGCUUGUUUUGUUUUGUAUUGUGUUCUACUUUUAAGCAGGCUAAAUAAACAGAGACCUGGAGGAUUCUGUUUGGAAGAGAAAGACGAUGGGCCCCUUACUUGGAGUUCAUUGCCAACCCACAGAAGAGAGACGGGUUCUCUCACCAACCAGAAAAGAAACAGCUGUGGUGACAGAUGUUGGUGGUGCUGAUUAUUCCAGGGCUGUUUGCAUUCAGAUUUCCCAGGCAUUCUCGGUUUUCUGAAGUCAAUCUCUUUUGAUGGGUUUUCCCAGGUCUUGGGGGUGAAAACAAACCGCUCCUCUUGCCGCACGCAUUUCAUUUAUUUCCUCUCUCUACUCCAGAAACACACAGAUAAAGGACACCCACCCAGCACACGCACUCCCCACACCCACGUGGCCUCACGUUUCGUUUUGAACAUAAAUGGCCUGGGGGAGAGAAACCUUUUCACUCCUCCUUAGGUUGCUUUUUGGUUUUGUAGGUAUGUGUGUUGGAGAGGUGGGGGGAGAGGUCUGGCCAAAGUACAUCCAAGGCCAGUUUCUCCAAAAGAUGUGGAAACUUCUGAUCUCACCCAGGGACUUCAACAGAAUACCAAAAAGGGGUGUCUUUGUUUCCUCCAAAUGGAGUAUUUACUUUGAGCUGGUAAAAUGAAUUAAUGAAAAGAAAGGACACCUUCAGCUUCUGGGGAAGGAGUGAUAAGUAAAAUCAGAGGAGGGGAUUCCUUCUUACCCUGACUCCCCAAAAUCAAGGGGAGGAUGGAGGAUGGUGAGAGAGGGAGGAUCCCACAGGGUAUUCAAAAAUAGACCCUGCUAGAAAACAGGCUGCUCUUUUCUGGGAUUAAAAGUUGCCUCAAUACUGUAAGGCCCAUGUAUAUGCAAGCAGUUGGGAGUUAUUACGGGCCUAAAAUAGGAAACCAUUCGCUUGAUCUUUCGCUUCAAUCCUAUUAGGGGCCCCCUGGAGCUCGAGAGAGAUACCAGCCUGUCAUGUCCCUGUUGCUGUGACGACCCUGUCUUUAUAGAACAAGAAAGAGAAAUGGUAGUGAUUGGCAGACCUUGCUUGCCCCGUAUGUAACACAAAGGGCGACAAAACGAAGAGGAAGUGAGGCCCUUCUCCGAGGUCUGACGCUUCUUAACCCUACACUACCUUCCACCUGGUCCCAGUCGCCCCCACCCCGACCUCCUCCAGAGGGAAAGGAGAGACCACUGGCCGUUAAGUGCUAAUACCCAAAGAUCACGAAUGACUUUUUUGGGUCUAAUUGCGAGUAAUUUUUAAAGUCCGUCUUUGAUCGACUUGGACGGGAGAAAAUAUACGGGAGGGGCUGGAAGCGAAGAUGGGGGCUGCUCAGGCGACGCUGCCAACCGGGCGCUGUUUGCGGGGCGCUGGGCGGGGCGGCCGGGCCUGACAGACCCCCACCAUCUGGUGCCAGACUCCAACCCGCCGGUCGUAAAUAACCGCCUCCCUUUUCGGGCUUUCUCGCCCGGCUCCUCCGAUUCCCGCUAAAGUGGGAAAAGUGUAAAAUGCUGUUUGCGUCCUUUUUUCUCCGCUGUGUGCGCGGGAAGGAGGAGAGCGGCCUGCAGUGGCGGACGCGGGGCCGGGCCACCCCCCAAAACCUGGCGCCCGGCGGGGCGGCCCGCAGAGCCAGGCGGCAAAGGCCGCGCCCCGGGCCGAGCUCUCCGCCCGGCGCCCGGUCCCAUUAGGGGCUGUUUAUUGCAAAGUAAAACCAACCUAUCGCAGCGGCGAAGGCACUUUGUCUCUGCCGGGUCCCUUUCGGAAAACCGGUGACCCGGCGGCCCGGCGCGUCUCGGGGCGGGGGCAGCACAGCGUGCACGGUCCUCUCCAAGCGUUUUGCUGGGGACAAGUGCCUUUCUCUGAGGUUUACAACUCGCCCCGGCUCUGCUCAGGCGCCCACGGUAGCCGGAACUGGGCUGCAGCCUCCCCAGAUCACACUAAACCCGAGCCGUUGCGAGGCCCCGGGUUGCCCAAAGAUUGACAACGAUCAGGAGCUAAGUCUGCUUUCCGGGGACCUCGUGGGGAGCUCUGUGCCCAGCACUUUUCUCUCGGACUCUCUGCUGGGGGAGAGAAAGAAAAGAAAAAAAAAGAAAAAGAAAAAGAAAAAGAAAAGUUUCUUUCGGGGGAAGCAGUGAAACAGGAAAUGAAGAUUCGCUCUGUAGUUUAGCUGAAAGGAAACGCUGUCUAAUCCUGACAUGUAUCGCAUUUAAAAUAAAAUUCUUUUAUCUUCAUGCGUGCCAAGCCCCCAGACAUUGUUCGGACUCCUACGGGGGGAAAGACGUCAUAAAAUGAGAAUUUGUUUCAUUGUGGGUCGCUCUGCCAACACCGGGCUUUAAAGGAACGCCAAACAAAGCGGGCGCCAGGAGGGGGCUUCCCAGGUGGCUCUCAACUUGAGUGUGCAGCACAAUCACGUGCAGAGCUUGGUCAGCUGAUUGCUGGACACUACGCACAAGGAGCAUGCCUGGAUACACAGCUUAGGGACAAGAAACCUACGCUCACCAAGUGUCCACCAGCUCCUCGGCAAGGAGGGAGUAAAACGAAUUUUUUCUGCCACAACUUCUCUAGGCAUUUGUCUGGUCUUCUGCUGGAAAAUGUGGAUGUGGUUGUGAUCAUACUAGACCCUGGGAAUAAGGACAAACCUGAUGAAUGGUGAAGUGAGCAGAAAGAAAGUGGAUCCCAGAGGACUUUUCAGAGAGGAGCUUCCAGGCCAGCCCUAGGCUAUACAUCUGUGGACUUUGAAGCAAGAGAUAACUACUAUCUGUAUAAGGAACUUAGAUGGAAGCCAAAAGACCCAGCUGAUAUAUGAUGGAAUCCACGCUGCCCCCAGUGUACCACAGGAGAGGCAGAGCUGUCCUUUGCUGCUGGUGACUCAGUCCCUCCAAUGCCCCUCUUCGUCUUCCCCCUGUGUCAGGCUAUUGGAUCACUGCAGCACCCCCUGGAGCCCCGAAGCCAUGGCCUCACCACCACAGU